UACGAAGGGGGCUAGCGUUGUUCGGAAUUACUGGGCGUAAAGCGCGCGCAGGCGGCUAUCCAAGUCAGUGGUGAAAGCCCGGAGCUCAACUCCGGAACUGCCAUUGAAACUGUUUAGCUUGAGGAUGAGAGAGGUGAGUGGAAUUCCCAGUGUAGAGGUGAAAUUCGUAGAUAUUCGCAAGAACACCGGUGGCGAAGGCGGCUCACUGGCCCGGUACUGACGCUGAGAUGCGAAAGCGUGGGGAGCAAACAGG
rnacentral:rRNA from 1 species